UGCAGUCGCACGGUCGGGGCAACCUGGCAGUGGCGGACGGGUGAGUAACGCGUAGGUAUCUGUCCCUGGGUGGGGGAUAACGCCGGGAAACUGGUGCUAAUACCGCAUGACACCUGAGGGUCAAAGGCGCGAGUCGCCUGGGGAGGAGCCUGCGUCCGAUUAGCUGGUUGGUGGGGUAAAGGCCUACCAAGGCGACGAUCGGUAGCUGGUCUGAGAGGAUGAUCAGCCACACUGGGACUGAGACACGGCCCAGACUCCUACGGGAGGCAGCAGUGGGGAAUAUUGGACAAUGGGCGCAAGCCUGAUCCAGCAAUGCCGCGUGGGUGAAGAAGGUCUUCGGAUUGUAAAGCCCUUUCGGCGGGGACGAUGAUGACGGUACCCGCAGAAGAAGCUCCGGCUAACUUCGUGCCAGCAGCCGCGGUAAUACGAAGGGGGCUAGCGUUGCUCGGAAUGACUGGGCGUAAAGGGCGCGUAGGCGGCGUGUUGAGUUGGGCGUGAAAUUCCUGGGCUUAACCUGGGGCUGCGUUCAAUACCAGCAGGCUUGAGUGCGGAAGAGGGUCGUGGAAUUCCCAGUGUAGAGGUGAAAUUCGUAGAUAUUGGGAAGAACACCGGUGGCGAAGGCGGCGACCUG
rnacentral:rRNA from 1 species